GACAGAGGGGGCAAGCGUUGCUCGGAAUUACUGGGCGUAAAGGGCGCGUAGGCGGGAUGGCAAGUCGGUCGUGAAAUCCUUCGGCUCAACCGAAGAACGUCGAUCGAUACUGCUGUUCUUGAGGGUUGCAGAGGAGACUGGAAUUCCCGGUGUAGCGGUGAAAUGCGCAGAUAUCGGGAGGAACACCGGUGGCGAAGGCGGUUCUCUGGGCCUUACCUGACGCUGAGGAGCGAAAGCGUGGGGAGCGAACAGG
rnacentral:rRNA from 1 species